CCCCUGAACUUUGAAAAAUAGUUCAUUCAUGCCCUUCGUUAUACUUUAGGGCCAAUUAUACCCUUACCGUUAUACUUUGGGCCAAAUAUACCCUUGAGUAUAACGGCGUGCCACGUGUCAAAAUCUCAGUGACCAACUUAUUUUCCCUCUUUUAUUUUUCAUCCGGAUGCCUACUCCUUCAGAUCCGACCCAAUUAAUUUAUUACCCAACCCGUAAAAUAACCCAAAUAAGCCAAACCUAACCCGUAUAACAUAUCUAUAGCUUGCCUCUCUCUCUCUCUCUCUCUCUCUCUCUCUCUAAAAAAAACGCAGAUCAUCUUCAACCUCUUCAAAUGGAAGCUGCAAUUAUGAUUUAGUGGGUUUUAUUGUUACCUUUUUGCUUGGUGAUUUAGUGGUUUUUCUGCAUACCCUUUUGCUUAUUUUGUGGUUUGGAUUUUGAGUUUUCAUAUUUUUUGUUUUGGGAUGUAGAUCGUCUUCAGAUGGGUGAAGUAGUUUCCACUAUUCCAAUGAAGUCUUACAAUGUCCGAAAUUAGUUGUAAUUCAACGAAGAAGUGUCACUGUGGUGAAAUUGCAGUUACUACCAGUCUCAUUAACAAGCUUAACUUGGCAAGGGAAUGAUGCAGUUACUACCAGCCAGUUGGAGGCUACAGCUCAAGAAAGGAUUGGGAAGUUGAAUCCAAGAAGCGGACCUAACAAUUGAUUUAGCUUUAUGAAAUGUUAUUGUUUUUUGUGAAUUAUGGUGAUGUAUUUACUGCUUAUGACAGUACUCUUAAUUUGCUAAUUAUGUAAUGGUCAAACUAAAUGGAUGCCACAUUAUGACUUGGGAUGUAUUAGUUUUUGGGGUUAUAGUGUGGCAUCCAUACAACUAUUGGCUUAUUUUGUGCUGUGGUUGACAGUUUCUAUAGCAUAUUUAUGGUGUUUGAAA